rnacentral:tRNA from 1 species
GUGGGUGUAGCUCAGUGGUUAGAGCAUCGGAUUGUGAUUCCGAGGGCCGCCGGUUCAAAUCCGGUCAUCCACCCCA